CUACGGGAGGCAGCAGUGGGGAAUAUUGCCCAAUGGACGAAAGUCUGAGGCAGCAACGCCGCGUGUGCGAAGAAGGCCUUCGGGUUGUAAAGCACUUUUGGCGGGGAAGAGGAAGGACAGUACCCGCAGAAUAAGCUUCGGCUAACUACGUGCCAGCAGCCGCGGUAACACGUAGGAAGCGAGCGUUAUCCGGGAUUUACUGGGCGUAAAGCGCGUGCAGGUGGUAACGUAAGUUGGAUGUGAAAGCUCCUGGCUUAACUGGGAGAGGUCGUUCAAAACUGCGUAACUAGAGUACGAUAGAGGGAGGUAGAAUUCCGAGUGUAGUGGUGAAAUGCGUAGAUAUUCGGAGGAAUACCAGAGGCGAAGGCGGCCUCCUGGAUCGUAACUGACACUGAGACGCGAAAGCUAGGGUAGCAAACGGGAUUAGAUACCCUUGUAGUC
rnacentral:rRNA from 1 species